rnacentral:rRNA from 1 species
UACGUAGGGUGCGAGCGUUGUCCGGAGUUACUGGGCGUAAAGGGUGCGUAGGCGGCUGCGCGCGUGGAGGGUGAAAUCUCUCGGCUUACCCGGGAGGGGGCUUUCCAGACGGCGUGGCUUGAGGGACGGAGAGGGGCGUGGAAUUCCGGGUGGAGCGGUGAAAUGCGUAGAGAUCCGGAGGAACACCAGUGGCGAAGGCGAGUCCCUGGACGAUACCUGACACUGAGGCACGAAAGCCAAGGGAGCAACAGG